rnacentral:rRNA from 1 species
CGUACACAAAAAUGCACAUGCUGUGAGCUCGAUGAGUAGGGCGGGACACGUGGUAUCCUGUCUGAAUAUGGGGGGACCAUCCUCCAAGGCUAAAUACUCCUGACUGACCGAUAGUGAACCAGUACCGUGAGGGAAAGGCGAAAAGAACCCCGGCGAGGGGAGUGAAAAAGAACCUGAAACCGUGUACGUACAAGCAGUGGGAGCCUCUUUUAUGGGGUGACUGCGUACCUUUUGUAUAAUGGGUCAGCGACUUAUAUUCUGUAGCAAGGUUAACCGAAUAGGGGAGCCGAAGGGAAACCGAGUCUUAACUGGGCGUUAAGUUGCAGGGUAUAGACCCGAAACCCGGUGAUCUAGCCAUGGGCAGGUUGAAGGUUGGGUAACACUAACUGGAGGACCGAACCGACUAAUGUUGAAAAAUUAGCGGAUGACUUGUGGCUGGGGGUGAAAGGCCAAUCAAACCGGGAGAUAGCUGGUUCUCCCCGAAAGCUAUUUAGGUAGCGCCUCGUGAAUUCAUCUCCGGGGGUAGAGCACUGUUUCGGCAAGGGGGUCAUCCCGACUUACCAACCCGAUGCAAACUGCGAAUACCGGAGAAUGUUAUCACGGGAGACACACGGCGGGUGCUAACGUCCGUCGUGAAGAGGGAAACAACCCAGACCGCCAGCUAAGGUCCCAAAGUCAUGGUUAAGUGGGAAACGAUGUGGGAAGGCCCAGACAGCCAGGAUGUUGGCUUAGAAGCAGCCAUCAUUUAAAGAAAGCGUAAUAGCUCACUGGUCGAGUCGGCCUGCGCGGAAGAUGUAACGGGGCUAAACCAUGCACCGAAGCUGCGGCAGCGACGCUUAUGCGUUGUUGGGUAGGGGAGCGUUCUGUAAGCCUGUGAAGGUGUGCUGUGAGGCAUGCUGGAGGUAUCAGAAGUGCGAAUGCUGACAUAAGUAACGAUAAAGCGGGUGAAAAGCCCGCUCGCCGGAAGACCAAGGGUUCCUGUCCAACGUUAAUCGGGGCAGGGUGAGUCGACCCCUAAGGCGAGGCCGAAAGGCGUAGUCGAUGGGAAACAGGUUAAUAUUCCUGUACUUGGUGUUACUGCGAAGGGGGGACGGAGAAGGCUAUGUUGGCCGGGCGACGGUUGUCCCGGUUUAAGCGUGUAGGCUGGUUUUCCAGGCAAAUCCGGAAAAUCAAGGCUGAGGCGUGAUGACGAGGCACUACGGUGCUGAAGCAACAAAUGCCCUGCUUCCAGGAAAAGCCUCUAAGCAUCAGGUAACAUCAAAUCGUACCCCAAACCGACACAGGUGGUCAGGUAGAGAAUACCAAGGCGCUUGAGAGAACUCGGGUGAAGGAACUAGGCAAAAUGGUGCCGUAACUUCGGGAGAAGGCACGCUGAUAUGUAGGUGAAGCGACUUGCUCGUGGAGCUGAAAUCAGUCGAAGAUACCAGCUGGCUGCAACUGUUUAUUAAAAACACAGCACUGUGCAAACACGAAAGUGGACGUAUACGGUGUGACGCCUGCCCGGUGCCGGAAGGUUAAUUGAUGGGGUCAGCGCAAGCGAAGCUCUUGAUCGAAGCCCCGGUAAACGGCGGCCGUAACUAUAACGGUCCUAAGGUAGCGAAAUUCCUUGUCGGGUAAGUUCCGACCUGCACGAAUGGCGUAAUGAUGGCCAGGCUGUCUCCACCCGAGACUCAGUGAAAUUGAACUCGCUGUGAAGAUGCAGUGUACCCGCGGCAAGACGGAAAGACCCCGUGAACCUUUACUAUAGCUUGACACUGAACAUUGAGCCUUGAUGUGUAGGAUAGGUGGGAGGCUUUGAAGUGUGGACGCCAGUCUGCAUGGAGCCGACCUUGAAAUACCACCCUUUAAUGUUUGAUGUUCUAACGUUGACCCGUAAUCCGGGUUGCGGACAGUGUCUGGUGGGUAGUUUGACUGGGGCGGUCUCCUCCUAAAGAGUAACGGAGGAGCACGAAGGUUGGCUAAUCCUGGUCGGACAUCAGGAGGUUAGUGCAAUGGCAUAAGCCAGCUUGACUGCGAGCGUGACGGCGCGAGCAGGUGCGAAAGCAGGUCAUAGUGAUCCGGUGGUUCUGAAUGGAAGGGCCAUCGCUCAACGGAUAAAAGGUACUCCGGGGAUAACAGGCUGAUACCGCCCAAGAGUUCAUAUCGACGGCGGUGUUUGGCACCUCGAUGUCGGCUCAUCACAUCCUGGGGCUGAAGUAGGUCCCAAGGGUAUGGCUGUUCGCCAUUUAAAGUGGUACGCGAGCUGGGUUUAGAACGUCGUGAGACAGUUCGGUCCCUAUCUGCCGUGGGCGCUGGAGAACUGAGGGGGGCUGCUCCUAGUACGAGAGGACCGGAGUGGACGCAUCACUGGUGUUCGGGUUGUCAUGCCAAUGGCACUGCCCGGUAGCUAAAUGCGGAAGAGAUAAGUGCUGAAAGCAUCUAAGCACGAAACUUGCCCC